UAGAAGCCGAUGAAGGACGUUACUAACGACGAUAUGCUUUGGGGAGCUGUAAGUAAGCUUUGAUCCAGAGAUUUCCGAAUGGGGAAACCCAACAUGAGUUAUGUCAUGUUAUCGAUAUGUGAAUACAUAGCAUAUCAGAAGGCACACCCGGAGAACUGAAACAUCUUAGUACCCGGAGGAAGAGAAAGAAAAUUCGAUUCCCUUAGUAGCGGCGAGCGAAACGGGAAGAGCCCAAACCAACAAGCUUGCUUGUUGGGGUUGUAGGACACUCUAUACGGAGUUACAAAGGACGACAUUAGACGAAUCAUCUGGAAAGAUGAAUCAAAGAAGGUAAUAAUCCUGUAGUCGAAAAUGUUGUCUCUCUUGAGUGGAUCCUGAGUACGACGGAGCACGUGAAAUUCCGUCGGAAUCUGGGAGGACCAUCUCCUAAGGCUAAAUACUCUCUAGUGACCGAUAGUGAACCAGUACCGUGAGGGAAAGGUGAAAAGCACCCCGGAAGGGGAGUGAAAUAGAACCUGAAACCGUGUGCUUACAAGUAGUCAGAGCCCGUUAAUGGGUGAUGGCGUGCCUUUUGUAGAAUGAACCGGCGAGUUACGAUUUGAUGCAAGGUUAAGCAGUAAAUGUGGAGCCGUAGCGAAAGCGAGUCUGAAUAGGGCGUUUAGUAUUUGGUCGUAGACCCGAAACCAGGUGAUCUACCCUUGGUCAGGUUGAAGUUCAGGUAACACUGAAUGGAGGACCGAACCGACUUACGUUGAAAAGUGAGCGGAUGAACUGAGGGUAGCGGAGAAAUUCCAAUCGAACCUGGAGAUAGCUGGUUCUCUCCGAAAUAGCUUUAGGGCUAGCCUCAAGUGAUGAUUAUUGGAGGUAGAGCACUGUUUGGACGAGGGGCCCCUCUCGGGUUACCGAAUUCAGACAAACUCCGAAUGCCAAUUAAUUUAACUUGGGAGUCAGAACAUGGGUGAUAAGGUCCGUGUUCGAAAGGGAAACAGCCCAGACCACCAGCUAAGGUCCCAAAAUAUAUGUUAAGUGGAAAAGGAUGUGGCGUUGCCCAGACAACUAGGAUGUUGGCUUAGAAGCAGCCAUCAUUUAAAGAGUGCGUAAUAGCUCACUAGUCGAGUGACACUGCGCCGAAAAUGUACCGGGGCUAAACAU
rnacentral:rRNA from 1 species